rnacentral:rRNA from 1 species
AAUAUUGGACAAUGGGGGCAACCCUGAUCCAGCCAUGCCGCGGGUGUGAAGAAAGUCUUCGGAUUGUAAAGCACUCUAAGUGGGGAGGAAGGGCUUUAGGCUAAUACCCUGAAGUUUUGACGUUAACAACAGAAUACACACCGGCUAGCUCUGUGCCAGCAGCCGCGGUAAUACAGAGGGUGCAAGAGUUAAUCGGAAUUAAUGGGCGUAAAGCGCGCGUAGGUGGUUCAGUAAGAUGGGUGUGAAAUCCCCGGGCUUAACCUGGGAACUGCUUUCAUAACUGCUGAGCUAGAGUACGGUAGAGGGUAGUGGAAUUUCCUGUGUAGCGGUGAAAUGCGUAGAUAUAGGAAGGAACACCAGUGGCGAAGGCGACUACCUGGACUGAUACUGACACUGAGGUGCGAAAGCGUGGGGAGCAAAC